rnacentral:rRNA from 1 species
AAUGAACGCUGGUGGCAGACCUAACACAUGCAAGUCGAACGGUCUAUAUUAAACUUCGGUUUUUAUAGAUAGUGGCAAACGGGUGAGUAAAGCAUGGGAAUCGUACCUAGAAGUUUGGAAUAGCUAUUAGAAAUGAUAGAUAAUACCAAAUACACCUCGAGAGGGAAAGUUGACUUCGGUACUUCGGCUUUUAGAUGAGCCCAUGUUAAAUUAGUUAGUGUAGGGUAUGGCCUACCAGAUGAUGAUUAUAGCUAGGUCUUAGAGGAUGAUCAGCCACACUGGAAUUGAGAUACGGUCCAGACUCCUACGGGAGGCAGCAGUGGGAAUAUUGGACAAUGGGCGCAAGCCUGAUCCAGUCAUGCCACGUGAGUGAUGAAGGUCUUAGGAUU